AAUUGUGGUGGUUUUCUUUCUGGCACAUUUGUUAAGUUUUCAAAUGGGCCUAACUCUGCCACAUAUAUUACAGUGGAGCUGGCAAAGGCUUGGUGACAAAGAGAUCUCUCUUAAGCCUUUUCUGCAUCAGAGAUUGGCUCCCACAUGU
ensembl:snoRNA SNORA12 small nucleolar RNA, H/ACA box 12